rnacentral:lncRNA from 1 species
GUUGGAUCUAAAACCAGAUGUCUUUGAAGAAACUAUCAGGUCUGGUAAGAAUAAGAGGAAACAAAAUGUUAUUGGCAUGCUCAAUAAUGAUAAAGCCAAGAUGUCACCUGCCAGUACAAUGAAGAGGGACUGGGGUCUUGGCACUAAAAGGUGCAACUGAAGGAACAGAGAAACUGUGUAAUUGUAAAACCUCCUUGUGGCCCCACAUGGCUCAUACUCAAAUGAUUCCAGUGUCUAUGGCCUGAGAAGUGCUUCAUGAAAUGAGGUGAUUAUCUUGACUACAUGAGGGGAUAACUUUGGAAAUGUGCUUAAAGUUCAAAAGUGCUCUUGAAAAGGCAUCAAGUCAACUCAGAGGCAAUGUUGGAGCUUAUCUGUAGCAUUUCCCCCGGCUUGGACAAGAAUACGGCAUCAUUAUCUAAACACAAAGCCAAAUGUAAGUGGCUGACCCUGGAGUGGAGUAUUAUUCCUGGGGCUGUUAAGUAAAUAGACCCUGAGCACCAAAUGCCUGAGAGCAGUAAGUGUGUGAUUAUGCCCUGCUGCUGCGAAUGGCAAAAUGCAGGUGCAAAUGUUACUGUAGGCAACAGUACAAUCCAAAUAGGGCUGUAAAUGAUCUUGCACUGUAAACCAAUUCAAUGUGUCCUUAUUUUUAACCAAACUAAAUUCCUUGCAGAAAAGCUGGGUAUUCAUUUCAUGUAUUAGCCAGUAUGAAAUGGUUCUGAAGCAGUUCUAGACACCAAGGUAUUAUUUAACCCGUGUGGUUUAGUGGGACAAUGGCAGUCCCCUGCUGUAAUCCAUUCAGGGGCAAUACCGGCAGUCAGUGUGAAAUGAAAUACAUUACAGGGAAAGAGCUUAAUGUGCUUUAUAGGCAGUUGUUCAUCCACAUCAAACUUUAGUUUUUAAAAUCCUAACAUUUGAUCCCACAACAGGAACAGUGCCUCAAGUCAGAGAUUGGCAUGGUGAGUCGCCGGGAGGUGGAAAAGAGGCACAGCUUCAUUGAAGCUACAGUUGGCUGCAAGGAACCAUUUCAAAUCAUCUUAGUUCUACGGGGCCAUUCAGGUGGCAAAGGCCCAGGUAACAUUUGAUCAAGUUGCUACAGGGCUUGGACCUACUUUUAUUGCCCCUUACUUUUCCCACUAACAUUUUUGCUUGAAAUAUCGAUGUUUUUUUGGUGCAGCAAAACUCUUUUCCCACAGCUAAAUUGAAGUAGGGCAUAUGUGCUUCCCUCACCUCGCUCCCAGUCCCUCUUGACCCCGAAAUGGUCUAGCAGCCUGUGCUUUGUUAAACUGAAAAUGUGUAGAAAUUUUUAUAGAGAUAUUCAGCUAUAUAAAUAGCUUUGAAAUUUGUCAUAACUUUAAAAACAGGUCAAAAAGGAAAUUGAACAGCUAGUGAGUUUCUGUCUUAGUCCGUUUUGUGCUGCUAUAACAGAAUACCAUAAACUAGGUAAUUUAUAAACAAUAGAAGUUUAUUUGUCUCAAUGGCCAACAAGCAUAUGGAAAAAUGUUCAACAUCACUAAUUAUCAGGGAAAUACAAAUCAAAACCACAGUGCGAUACCACGUAACUUCUGCAAUAAUGGUCAUAAUCAAAAAAUAAUAAUAAAUAAAUAGAUGUUGGCAUGGAUAUGGUGAAAAGGGAACACUUUUACUGGGUUGGUGGGAAUGUAAACUAGCACAACCACUAUAGAAAACAGUAUGGAGACUCCUUAAAGAACUAAAAGUAGACCUACCAUUUGACCUAGCAACCCCACUGCUAUGUAUCUGCUCAGAAGUAAAGAAGUCAUUAUACAAAAAAGACACUUGUUACAUGCAUGUAUAUAGCAGUACAAUUGCCCAAAUGCCCAUCAAUCAAUGAGUGGAUAAAAAAUGUUAUAUACAUACAUAUAUGUGUGUGUAUAUAUACAUAUACAUAUACACACACACACACAUACACACACACACACACACACACACACAUAUACCAUGGAAUACUGCUCAGCCAAAGAAAGGAAUGAAAUAAUGGGAUUUGCAGCAACCUGGAUGGAAUUGGAGGCUAUUAUUCUAAGUGAAGUAACUCAGGAAUAGAUAACCAAACAUACAUGUUCUCACUCAUAUGUGGGAACUAAGCUAUGAGAAUGCAAAGGCAUAAGAAUGAUAUAUUGGAGUUUGGAGACUCAAAGGAAAGAGUGGGGGAGAGGGAGGGAUAAAAGACUACACAUUGGGUACAGUAUACAAUGCUUGAGUGAUGGGUGCAACAAAAUCUCAGAAAUCCCCACUAAUGAGCAUAUUCAUGUAACAAAAUACCAUCUGUUCCCCAAAACUUAUUGAAAUAAAAAAUAAAAAAUUAAUGAUAAUAACAAUAAAAAGAAGUUUAUUUGUCUUAUGUUUCUGGAGGCCAGGAAGUCCAAGAUCAAGGGGUUGCAUCUAGUGGGGGUCUUCUUGCUGAGUCAUAACCUGGCAGAAGACAUCACAUGAAGAGAGAAUGGAUGAGAGCCAGCAAGCAAGAGAGGGCCAAACUUGCUUUUAUAACAAACCCAUUCCUGACAUCAUGAACUUACCCCUGCCAUAAUGACAUUAAUCCAUUCCAGGGGGCAAAGCUCUCAUGACCUAAUCACCUCUCAAAAGUGCCACCUCUCGAUGCUGUUGCAUUGGGGAUUAAGUUUCCAACACAUGAACUCUGGGGAGAUGCAUUCAAACCUUAGCAGUUUAA